rnacentral:rRNA from 1 species
CUGACGUUAGCGGCGGACGGGUGAGUAACACGUGGGUAACCUACCUAUAAGACUGGGAUAACUCCGGGAAACCGGGGCUAAUACCGGAUAACACAUGAAACCGCAUGGUUUCAUGAUGAAAGACGGUUUUGCUGUCACUUAUAGAUGGACCCGCGGCGUAUUAGCUAGUUGGUAAGGUAACGGCUUACCAAGGCAACGAUACGUAGCCGACCUGAGAGGGUGAUCGGCCACACUGGAACUGAGACACGGUCCAGACUCCUACGGGAGGCAGCAGGU